rnacentral:rRNA from 1 species
GACGAACGCUGGCGGCGUGCUUAACACAUGCAAGUCGAACGGAAAGGCCCUGCUUGCAGGGUACUCGAGUGGCGAACGGGUGAGUAACACGUGGGUGAACUGCCCCGCACUUCGGGAUAAGCCUUGGGAAAUGGGGCUAUUAUCGGAUAGGAGCCAUUCUGAGGGUGAUGGGUGGAAAGUUUUUUGGGUUUAGGGUGGGAUCGCGGCCUAUCUGCUUGUUGGUUGGGUAAUGGCCUAACUAGGCGGCGGUGGGUGGGCGGCCGGCGGGGGUGGACGGGCACAAUGGGGAUGGGAUUAGGGCCAGAACCCCAAGGGAGGCAAGAGGGGGGAAUAAUGCACAAUGGGGGCGAGCCUGAUGGAGCGAAGGCGGGUGGGGGGUGACGGCCUUCGGGUUGUAAAAUCCUUUCGCUAGGGACGAAGCUGUUUGUGACGGUACCUAGUUAAGAAGCACCGGCUAACUACGUG